rnacentral:misc_RNA from 1 species
UAUGGUUUAUGACAAUGCUGCAAUUAAGCUUCGGGGACCCGAUGCUUUAACCAACUUCAUAAAACCGCCAAGAAGAGAAGAACAACAGGAAGAAGCAGAAGCAGAAGGAGAACAAGUAGAAGAAAAGCCAGAAAUUCAUGUGACUUCAACUUCUGGCUAUGAAUCCGGCGAUGAGUCUCAAAAUCUCUCAUCCCCAAAAUCUGUGCUGAACUUUAGAGCUCAUUGCAAUGAAGAAUCUGAACUGCAGAAGCCGGUAGAACCAGUAGAAAAAUCAAAAAUAGAAAGUAAACCGGUUGAACAAGUAGUACUUGAAGAGUGUGAAGGGGAAACGAACGUAUCCGACGAAUCAGCAGAGUAUCUAUUACCG